rnacentral:rRNA from 1 species
AGCAGCCGCGGUAAUUCCACCUCCAAUAGCGUAUAUUAAAGUUGUUGCAGUUAAAAAGCUCGUAGUUGAAUUUCGGGAUCAAAUUGUCGGUCGUGCCUCGGUACGCACUGGUAUUAUUGGUUCCUACCUUCUGAAGAACCGCGAUGUCAUUAAUUUGGUGUCGUGGGGAAUCAGGACUGUUACUUUGAAAAAAUUAGAGUGUUUAAAGCAGGCUUACGCUUGAAUACAUUAGCAUGGAAUAAUGAAAUAGGACGUUUGAUUCUAUUUUGUUGGUUUCUAGGAUUGACGUAAUGAUUAAUAGGGAUAGUUGGGGGCAUUAGUAUUCAAUUGUCAGAGGUGAAAUUCUUGGAUUUAUUGAAGACUAACUACUGCGAAAGCAUUUGCCAAGGAUGUUUUCAUUAAUCAAGAACGAAAGUUAGGGGAUCGAAGACGAUCAGAUACCGUCGUAGUCUUACCAUAAACUAUGCCGACUAGGGAUCGGAUGAUGUUAAUUUUUAAUGACUCA